rnacentral:rRNA from 1 species
UACGUAGGGUGCGAGCGUUAAUCGGAAUUACUGGGCGUAAAGCGUGCGCAGGCGGUUUUGUAAGUCAGAUGUGAAAUCCCCGGGCUUAACCUGGGAACUGCGUUUGAAACUACAAGGCUAGAGUGUGGCAGAGGGGGGGUGGAAUUCCACGUGUAGCAGUGAAAUGCGUAGAGAUGUGGAGGAAUACCGAUGGCGAAGGCGGCUAUCUGGCCCGUAAUUGACGCUGAGGCGCGAAAGCGUGGGGAGCAAACAGG